GCUUCCUCCUCCGCGGCACCUGCGGCCUCCGCGGCGCUCCCGCACACCGGCUCGGCUCGGCUCGGCUCGGCGCGGCGCGGCGCGGUGAGUGGCGCUGCGGCGGGGCGGUGCGGAGCGGUGCCGUGCCGUGCCGUGCCGUGCCGUGCCGUGCCGUGCCGUGACCCUUUCUCCCGGCCUUCCUUCCGCGGGGCGGAGGGCGGUGUGACUCCGCUGACAGCCCUGGCACCGGGCUCAGCGGUGUGCGGCAGCCCCGGCGGGAGGGAACUUUGGCGGCGGCGUAAGGGGCGCGGGAUGGGGGGGCAGCUGCUUUGUUUCGCCUGCUUCCCUAAAACGCGUCCGUCCGCGCCCCGCCGCGGAGAGGGGGCGUUGCGGACCCCCGUGCUGGGCGGCACAGCAAGGCGUGCCGACAUCCGCGUAGCGGGAUGGUUUUGUGCACAGAAGCGUUUUUUCCGUUGGGUGUCCCCCCGCCCGCCGCCCCACGCGCAGAUGCCGGCGUGCCUGUGGUGUUUUUCCUCCCUCCGUAGCAGAACUUAACUUAAAAAGAAGCAGGCGCAGCUCUUAUGGAAGAAAUUCACUACUUCUGUAUUCUCUGAUCAGGGAUGGUGGUUAAUUAGUAAUUGUACAAAAUGAUACGCUGAAGCCGUGUAAUUACAAGCUUAACCUUUUAUUCUAAGGAGCAGAAUUGGUAGUUUUGUUCCACAUUUGUAGCGUUUUGAACAUCCAAUUGUGUCUUGGUGAAAUAAAGAAAGAAAAGAAGGGUUGGUCAAAUGCAAAUUUGGUUUUGUUCGCAGCACGCUUAGCAUUUACAAUUGAGGUUUAGUGAUCUGCCUUUUUUUUUUUUUCAUUUAUUUUCAUAGGCUUGCUUCAUGUGGGAAUGGGAAGGUGUCUGCAGGGAUUUGUGUUUUGUGUAGUAAGUUGUAGUGUCACUUUGUUCAUACACACAAGGAUACAAACCAGAAUAGAUCUAUACAGGAGAACUGGAAUAAAAUUGUGGGUUUCUGUUGUCAACAUACAUGCUUAAGAGAAUAGCAGUCCUGCUAUGCUAGCGAUAAAGUAGGAGCAAAAUACCUGGGAAAGUCUAAGGUUUAGGAACGAUACCAAAUUUUGUAGAGAGUGUGAGCUGGCCUUCGUAAGUCCUUUUGUCAUCAGUCUGGGAAAUGCAUUAACAUUUGAUUUGUUUCCAUGUGUGACCCUCCUUGGGUCUCCUUGGGUUUUUGACAUGUCUGUUCUGAGUUGAACUUCGUCAGCUGUCAGGAAGUCAGGAAACCACAGACAAAAGGUGGAUGAACAAGUGACCAACCUCAGGGAGCACAGAGGGGGAAUAUGAAGGGGAAGCUGGCAUUGCCUUCUCAGUUAAACAAGUUCCUAUGCUGAAGAGCGAUCUCAAAGGAUGUUUCGCUCCUCUAGUGCUCUCAACCAGUCUCUGUCCAUCUUCUAUUAUUAUUUGCAUUAAUAUGUAUUUGUAGUAAUGUUAUUAAAUAUGCACUGUAAGUAUAUAUGAUGUGCAGAGUACACAGCUAAUGUUUCCAAAACCACUUAGGCAUUAUGCAGGAGUAGUUUCUAACCAGGCUGGCUGAGACACCAGAGAAAAGCAUUUGUAACAGUGGCUUCUUCUGUUGUACUGGGCACUUGGAUUCAGUGGACUUUCACUAGACUUGAAGGUUUGUGGCAGAUUUCUCAUUUGUGAUAACAGGACAUGCCAUCUUUUUGAGGAUAUUCUAUAGAACAAUCUGUGCACAAAAAAGUGUAAAAUUUCAAGUGGUAUAUAGUAUUAAAUAUUACGCAUAAUAGUUUUGUUAGUGCUAAUUGUUCUUGGAAAAGUCUCCAAGUCUCUGUCCUAUUUUCUGACUCAUAGCUGGUGAAUAUUCUUGAAUGUCCAUUGAUGUUCCCUUGAGAAAAGAUGGAAAAGAUUGCCAAGAAGCUAAGUGAACCAGUUAAGCAUUGCCUUUGCCUUAAAAAAUGACCAAAGUAACAAGAAAUGGCAUCGUUACUACCUUUCCUUUGGGGAAUUGUGGUGGAUAUUUGUCCCCCUGAGACUUUCCAACAUCAAUUCGCAUGAGAAUGCAUUUGGACUUAUAGGUUUGCAUCCUUUGAGAUUAUUAAUUUACCCUGUUGGUUAUAGAGUGUAAGGUCAACAUACAAGAGAAAAUAAAGAAUAUAAAGGGCUUUCUGAAGUACACA
rnacentral:lncRNA from 1 species